GACGAACCACACAAACGUUAUUCGGAAUUACUGGGCGUAAAGCGCACGUAGGCGGCUUUGUAAGUUAGAGGUGAAAGCCUGGAGCUCAACUCCAGAAUUGCCUUUAAGACUGCAUCGCUUGAAUCCAGGAGAGGUGAGUGGAAUUCCGAGUGUAGAGGUGAAAUUCGUAGAUAUUCGGAAGAACACCAGAGGCGAAGGCGGCUCACUGGACUGGUAUUGACGCUGAGGUGCGAAAGCGUGGGGAGCAAACAGG
rnacentral:rRNA from 1 species